rnacentral:rRNA from 1 species
CCCGGGUCUUGUACACACCGCCCGGUCACACCAUGGGAGCGGGAUGUACCAGAAGUAGGUAGGCUAACCGCAAGGGGGCCGCUUACCACGGUGCGUUUCGGUGACUGGGGUG